GGUUAAGCGACUAAGCGUACACGGUGGAUGCCCUGGCAGUCAGAGGCGAUGAAGGACGUGCUAAUCUGCGAAAAGCGUCGGUAAGGUGAUAUGAACCGUUAUAACCGGCGAUGUCCGAAUGGGGAAACCCAGUGUGAUUCGUCACACUAUCGUUAACUGAAUACAUAGGUUAACGAGGCGAACCGGGGGAACUGAAACAUCUAAGUACCCCGAGGAAAAGAAAUCAACCGAGAUUCCCCCAGUAGCGGCGAGCGAACGGGGAGCAGCCCAGAGUCUGAAUCAGCUUGUGUGUUAGUGGAACGGUCUGGAAAGUCCGACGGUACAGGGUGAUAGUCCCGUACACCAAAAUGCACAGGCUGUGAACUCGAAGAGUAGGGCGGGACACGUGGUAUCCUGUCUGAAUAUGGGGGGACCAUCCUCCAAGGCUAAAUACUCCUGACUGACCGAUAGUGAACCAGUACCGUGAGGGAAAGGCGAAAAGAACCCCGGCGAGGGGAGUGAAAAAGAACCUGAAACCGUGUACGUACAAGCAGUGGGAGCACCUUCGGGUGUGACUGCGUACCUUUUGUAUAAUGGGUCAGCGACUUAUAUUCUGUAGCAAGGUUAACCGUAUAGGGGAGCCGCAGGGAAACCGAGUCUUAACUGGGCGUUAAGUUGCAGGGUAUAGACCCGAAACCCGGUGAUCUAGCCAUGGGCAGGUUGAAGGUUGGGUAACACUAACUGGAGGACCGAACCGACUAAUGUUGAAAAAUUAGCGGAUGACUUGUGGCUGGGGGUGAAAGGCCAAUCAAACCGGGAGAUAGCUGGUUCUCCCCGAAAGCUAUUUAGGUAGCGCCUCGUGAAUUCAUCUUCGGGGGUAGAGCACUGUUUCGGCUAGGGGGUCAUCCCGACUUACCAACCCGAUGCAAACUACGAAUACCGAAGAAUGUUAUCACGGGAGACACACGGCGGGUGCUAACGUCCGUCGUGAAGAGGGAAACAACCCAGACCGCCAGCUAAGGUCCCAAAGUCAUGGUUAAGUGGGAAACGAUGUGGGAAGGCACAGACAGCCAGGAUGUUGGCUUAGAAGCAGCCAUCAUUUAAAGAAAGCGUAAUAGCUCACUGGUCGAGUCGGCCUGCGCGGAAGAUGUAACGGGGCUAAACCAUGCACCGAAGCUGCGGCAGCGACACUAUGUGUUGUUGGGUAGGGGAGCGUUCUGUAAGCCUGCGAAGGUGACCUGUGAGGGUUGCUGGAGGUAUCAGAAGUGCGAAUGCUGACAUAAGUAACGAUAAAGCGGGUGAAAAGCCCGCUCGCCGGAAGACCAAGGGUUCCUGUCCAACGUUAAUCGGGGCAGGGUGAGUCGACCCCUAAGGCGAGGCCGAAAGGCGUAGUCGAUGGGAAACAGGUUAAUAUUCCUGUACUUGGUGUUACUGCGAAGGGGGGACGGAGAAGGCUAUGUUAGCCGGGCGACGGUUGUCCCGGUUUAAGCAUGUAGGCUGGUUAUCCAGGCAAAUCCGGAUAAUCAAGGCUGAGGUGUGAUGACGAGGCACUACGGUGCUGAAGUAACAAAUGCCCUGCUUCCAGGAAAAGCCUCUAAGCAUCAGGUAACAUCAAAUCGUACCCCAAACCGACACAGGUGGUCAGGUAGAGAAUACCAAGGCGCUUGAGAGAACUCGGGUGAAGGAACUAGGCAAAAUGGUGCCGUAACUUCGGGAGAAGGCACGCUGGUGUGUAGGUGAAGUCCCUGCGGAUGGAGCUGAGACCAGUCGAAGAUACCAGCUGGCUGCAACUGUUUAUUAAAAACACAGCACUGUGCAAACACGAAAGUGGACGUAUACGGUGUGACGCCUGCCCGGUGCCGGAAGGUUAAUUGAUGGGGUUAUCCGUAAGGAGAAGCUCUUGAUCGAAGCCCCGGUAAACGGCGGCCGUAACUAUAACGGUCCUAAGGUAGCGAAAUUCCUUGUCGGGUAAGUUCCGACCUGCACGAAUGGCGUAAUGAUGGCCAGGCUGUCUCCACCCGAGACUCAGUGAAAUUGAACUCGCUGUGAAGAUGCAGUGUACCCGCGGCAAGACGGAAAGACCCCGUGAACCUUUACUAUAGCUUGACACUGAACAUUGAGCCUUGAUGUGUAGGAUAGGUGGGAGGCUUUGAAGCGUGGACGCCAGUCUGCGUGGAGCCAACCUUGAAAUACCACCCUUUAAUGUUUGAUGUUCUAACGUUGGCCCCUGACCGGGGUUGCGGACAGUGUCUGGUGGGUAGUUUGACUGGGGCGGUCUCCUCCCAAAGCGUAACGGAGGAGCACGAAGGUUAGCUAAUCCUGGUCGGACAUCAGGAGGUUAGUGCAAUGGCAUAAGCUAGCUUGACUGCGAGCGUGACGGCGCGAGCAGGUGCGAAAGCAGGUCAUAGUGAUCCGGUGGUUCUGAAUGGAAGGGCCAUCGCUCAACGGAUAAAAGGUACUCCGGGGAUAACAGGCUGAUACCGCCCAAGAGUUCAUAUCGACGGCGGUGUUUGGCACCUCGAUGUCGGCUCAUCACAUCCUGGGGCUGAAGUAGGUCCCAAGGGUAUGGCUGUUCGCCAUUUAAAGUGGUACGCGAGCUGGGUUUAGAACGUCGUGAGACAGUUCGGUCCCUAUCUGCCGUGGGCGCUGGAGAAUUGAGGGGGGCUGCUCCUAGUACGAGAGGACCGGAGUGGACGCAUCACUGGUGUUCGGGUUGUCAUGCCAAUGGCACUGCCCGGUAGCUAAAUGCGGAAGAGAUAAGUGCUGAAAGCAUCUAAGCACGAAACUUGCCCCGAGAUGAGUUCUCCCUGAGACUUUAAGUCUCCUGAAGGAACGUUGAAGACGACGACGUUGAUAGGCCGGGUGUGUAAGCGCAGCGAUGCGUUGAGCUAACCGGUACUAAUGAACCGUGAGGCUUAACCUU
rnacentral:rRNA from 1 species